GUUAUAGGGUCAAGUGACUAAGUGCAUGUGGUGGAUGCCUAGGCGAUUACAGGCGACGAAGGACGUGAUAGCCUGCGAUAAGCUUCGGGGAGCUGGCAAAUUAGCUUUGAUCCGGAGAUUUCCGAAUGGGGAAACCCACCCGCAAGGGUAUCUUGUGCUGAAUACAUAGGCACAUGAGGCGAACCGGGUGAACUGAAACAUCUCAGUAGCUCGAGGAACAGACAUCAACCGAGAUUCCGAAAGUAGUGGCGAGCGAAAUCGGAGCAGCCUGACAGUGAUAGCAGGGGACUUAGCAAAACGGCAUGGAAAGGCCGGCGACAGUGGGUGAUAGCCCCGUAUGCGAAAAGACCCCUGUGGUACUGAGCUGUCGACAAGUAGGGCGGGACACGUGAAAUCCUGUCUGAAGAUGGGGGGACCAUCCUCCAAGGCUAAAUACUCGUAAUCGACCGAUAGUGAACCAGUACCGUGAGGGAAAGGCGAAAAGAACCCCGGGAGGGGAGUGAAAUAGAUCCUGAAACCGCAUGCAUACAAAAAGUCGGAGCCCUUCGGGGUGACGGCGUACCUUUUGUAUAAUGGGUCAGCGACUUACAUUCAGUGGCGAGCUUAACCGAAUAGGGCAGGCGCAGGGAAACC
rnacentral:rRNA from 1 species